AAUCAUGCCUGGAUCCUGCUCUGAAGUUAUUUUAGACAUGCCCUUUUUUAAAGUUGGACACAAACACCAAAACCAAAACCAUUUCAUUUGUAGAAUGUUUGUACAUUGUGAAAUACAAUAAUAAAACACACUUUUUAACAUUAUAAUGCUACUUACCAACACUUAACACUUGACAUAUUAAGCCUUGCACAAAUGAAAUUUACCAAAAUAUUCUCUUUUCUCACUAUAACUAGAAGCCACAACCCUGGCCUGCAUAUACAGCCAGACCACAGGGAACAUGGGAGUGUUCCCUAGAAAGACAACCACUGCCAGAAGCAUCAACAAGUGGAAGGGCUGGAGCCCAGGGACAGGAAGUUUCGGGAGUAGAAGCAAAGGAAGUGCUGGGCCAGAAUCGCCGACAUCCUGGGAGGGGCGUUAUUCCCAUAUCUAACAUGUCCGUGAAAAUUACUUAAAUCCGGUUUAAAAUGGCUUUGUAUAAUUCAGGUAAUACAUUGUAUUUUUGCAUGUUCUACAGUAAAAACUGCAUACCACAACAGCAACAAAAUGACUUCUGUUUUCAACACACCAGCAUUACAGAACGAAACUAACUUUAAAUUAGGAAAUCAAUGCUUCUAAGGUUACACUUCUCUUUUUUAUUGGUGUUUUCAUUGACUUAAUAUGCUGAAGUCUUGAUAGAAAAUGAUAGAAAUAUUUUACCAGAAAGUCCAUAAAGUUUAUCUUUGGCCUGAACAAUCAUUAAAACAGUGAGCAACUUGGAAAUGCAUAUGAGCAGCUAAAAUAAGAUUUGAAAAACUGCAAAUUGUCUUUUUAAUCUGACAGAACGUUUGGGAAAUGUUUGUGGUGUUGAGUAACGUCUCAAAUGCUGGCAGAAAAACAAUAUAAAUAGCACACAAACCAUGCUUAGUUUUAUAAAGAUCUGUAGCCAGGAGUUCUUUUUUUUUUCUUUACACGUUCACAUUUUUUUACAAUGAAUCACUACCUUAACACACUCAGCAGGAUUCCUGUCUUGAUCUCUCCAUGUGCCUAUGAAAGAGUUUUUGUGUCAAGAAAUAACUCCAGGUUGCCCUAAUUAUUCACAUAUGGGACCAAACCAACCCUGCCACACAAAAGCACCACUCUCUCUCACACUUAGCUCACAUACACAGAGAAGUGUGACAGCAGAGAAUGCUGUGACACAUUAGGGCUAAAAGGAAUGUCAUGGGAGAUCAAAAUGUGUUUCCACACAUCAGAAAGGUUUACCAAGUACCUAUACAAUUGACCCUAUAUAGAAGUGUUUACACAUUCAAUUAAUUAAAUAAAAAAAGAGAGUAACUUCGUUAUUAAUUACAAAUCUUUCAUCUCAUCUUUCACAUUAGGUGUAAUGGAUACAUUGUGAGAGAUAAAGAAGAGAAAGGUGAAGAAUGACCCUCAUUGUCCCAUUACGAAAAGGUUAAGGCAGUUAUGAUCAAUUUAUCGAGAAAGACGAGUUGUUGUGUUUACAUGACUGAUACAACUGGUGGACUACACACCGAGGUGUAAAUCAUGUUAAAUAACAGUAACCUGUUACCUAAGAGACAGAGUAACAAAGGGGUUAUUCCCACUCCUUUCAUCAUCUCUGCCACCAUAUAUUUACUGUGAGCCACACCUUUCCCUCCUACUCGCCUACACACACACUCUCUCUCUUUCUCUCUCUCCUUGUCCAGUCGUUAACCAGAUCCCAUGCAAAGGAAAUGGCAGAGCUGGCCAUAAAGCUACAUGUAAAACAGGCGAGGACUGUCUUGUACCUGUGCUACUAAGCAUUUUUUUCUGCUGCCUACAACUGUUUUGCAGUCCAAAGUCUUAAAACUUGGAUUUGGGUAAAGUCCAACAAUAUUAAGGUGACAAGUGUGGGUCAACCUGCAGCAUUUUAUAUAAGGUUUAAUAAUCCACACAAGUUCAGUGAUCAGUUGUGUGUUUAGUAAAGCAGUAAUAAUACAACUACAGCUGUUAUUGUGUGCUCAAACAGGCCGAGUGUGUGUUUCUUUAUUUAUUCAUAGUUAUUAUACAGAUUAACAGUGUGGUAUGACAAGCAGUCAGCAAAAAACAAGUUCUUAGUCUUAGUGACGCCUUUCUGUGUUUUGUUUUGUCAAGGAAACAAGAAAACAACAAUUAGAAAAGGCCACAAGAAGAAAGAUGUAAAUGAAGCUCAAACCAGUGUUUAUAUUUGGCUCUUUUAAUUUAAUAAUCCCAAAGAUCCUAUUACACAUCAGCCCCAUGGGGUGGCAGCAAGGUAAUGUUAAGAAACCAGGUAUUGCUAAGAAAUCAGGUGCAAUAAAAGGUGUUGCUCCAAAGGAACAACUGCAGUAAUGCGUGCAAUGAUGGAAUGUACUAUGUAACAAAUGAUAAGUAAAUCAGAACUAUUUUUAUAUCUGUAUAGUAAGCACCAAAAGAUAGAAAUAAACAUGACUUUUGUGGCAGAGGUUGCUAUACAGACCAUUUGAAUGGCCUUCUUUAUAAGCAAAGUGCAAUGCCUUUUUCCUAAAUGUUUAAAUGAACAAGUGCAACAUUUACUUUUCAAGACCAAGAAAUAUGUCUACUUGUUAUACAAAUGUGUGUCUCAGUGGGCAGUGAAUAGACUAUUUCAAUUCAAACUCAAGCUAGGGUCUUUGCCUUCUUCCUCCUCUUAUCCUUCUUCUUAAAUGGAAAUUUCGAGUUCAAUUUGUACCACUUGUCAUUUGUAAACCUUUUCAACCAUUAAAAACCUAACUACCAGUAAAGAAGAGGACCGUGAGAAAAUACAAGCCGUGGGCAGAAUCCAUGUGAGAAAUCAACAAUCUACAUAUCUGGAGGCUAAUUCUUUAAACAUAUGGGAGGAGUAAAUGUGUACAAUUAUACUUUUUCAUAAAGAUGUUUUCUAACACUUCCUUAAUUAACAGUUAAUUAGUCAUUAGAACUGUUAACUCAAUGUUAUUCACUUAAUGAAAUAGACCAUACGAAUGCUGUGGAAUGUCUUUUUUGCUAAACAGGCAAUAAAACUUUUGACGUGUUUGAAUAAAACAGACCAAAACGUUACCGGUCAUUAUAAAACGAAUCCUGGUUUACCAGCAUAUUACGUUUUAAAAUGAGAUUAAAACAUAUGAGCGGUAAAGGUACUUGGACAUCCACAUAAUGGGUUAGAGGCGAUCGACGUGGUGCUUUAAGGCCCAUGAGGAACAGGACUCUGCGCCUGCGCAGAGACCCGGAGGAAUCCAAACUUUUUUUUCAUUAGAGACCAACGCCUUGUAUUGUGGCACAAUCACGCCCGCCAAAGAAUCAAUGACACGAACUGCAUGAGACGCAACAGAGCCGCUGAGGCACGUAGGACAGGAAAAGAAACACCAAAUAAGCACACCGAAGGCAGACACGGUGUGUAAAGUGAGAUUUAAGCACAGAGCUAUAGAAAAGGGAAAGAAGGGUCGAUUGUCUCACUUUCUCUCGGAUCUCCCGUUCACUGUCCAGCUCUCUCUGUAGCAUCUGAGCCUGGUCCUCUGCCUGGUCGGCCUGCUGCUGCAAAACCUGAAUCUUCCUCUUCACGGCAUCCACAGAGCUCGAAGCCAUUGUUCACCGUUAGCUCACUUAACUUAAGACUAAACACGGGAAGUAAAAACUCACUUAAGACUACUUUAAGGUUGUGCAAUAACACC